CCUACGGGCGGCAGCAGUGAGGAAUAUUGGUCAAUGGGCUUACGCCUGAACCAGCCAAGUCGCGUGAGGGAAGACUGCCCUAUGGGUUGUAAACCUCUUUUGUCAGGGAGCAAUUGGCGCUACGUGUAGCGUUAUCGAGAGUACCUGAAGAAAAAGCAUCGGCUAACUCCGUGCCAGCAGCCGCGGUAAUACGGAGGAUGCGAGCGUUAUCCGGAUUUAUUGGGUUUAAGGGGUGCGUAGGCGGAAUGCAAAGUCAGCGGGAAAAUCGCGGGGCUCAACCUCGCUCCGCCGUUGAAACUGGCGUUCUUGAGUGGGCGAGAAGUAUGCGGAAUGCGUGGUGUAGCGGUGAAAUGCAUAGAUAUCACGCAGAACUCCGAUUGCGAAGGCAGCAUACCGGCGCCCAACUGACGCUGAAGCACGAAAGCGUGGGUAUCGAACAGGAUUAGAUACCCCGGUAGUC
rnacentral:rRNA from 1 species